UUAAGUUAGAAAGGGCGCACGGUGGAUGCCUUGACACUAGGAGUCGAUGAAGGACGGGACUAACGCCGAUAUGCUUCGGGGAGCUGUAAGUAAGCUUUGAUCCGAAGAUUUCCGAAUGGGGAAACCCACCAUACGUAAUGGUAUGGUAUCCUUAUCUGAAUACAUAGGGUAAGGAAGACAGACCCAGGGAACUGAAACAUCUAAGUACCUGGAGGAAGAGAAAGCAAAUGCGAUUUCCUGAGUAGCGGCGAGCGAAACGGAACAUAGCCCAAACCAAGAGGCUUGCCUCUUGGGGUUGUAGGACAUUCUAUACGGAGUUACAAAGGAACGAGGUAGACGAAGCGACCUGGAAAGGUCCGUCGUAGAGGGUAACAACCCCGUAGUCGAAACUUCGUUCUCUCUUGAAUGUAUCCUGAGUACGGCGGAACACGUGAAAUUCCGUCGGAAUCUGGGAGGACCAUCUCCCAAGGCUAAAUACUCCCUAGUGAUCGAUAGUGAACCAGUACCGUGAGGGAAAGGUGAAAAGCACCCCGGAAGGGGAGUGAAAGAGAUCCUGAAACCGUGUGCCUACAAAUAGUCAGAGCCCGUUAACGGGUGAUGGCGUGCCUUUUGUAGAAUGAACCGGCGAGUUACGAUCCCGUGCGAGGUUAAGCUGAAGAGGCGGAGCCGCAGCGAAAGCGAGUCUGAAUAGGGCGUUUAGUACGUGGUCGUAGACCCGAAACCAGGUGAUCUACCCAUGUCCAGGGUGAAGUUCAGGUAACACUGAAUGGAGGCCCGAACCCACGCACGUUGAAAAGUGCGGGGAUGAGGUGUGGGUAGCGGAGAAAUUCCAAUCGAACCUGGAGAUAGCUGGUUCUCCCCGAAAUAGCUUUAGGGCUAGCCUUAAGUGUAAGAGUCUUGGAGGUAGAGCACUGAUUGGACUAGGGGUCCUCAUCGGAUUACCGAAUUCAGUCAAACUCCGAAUGCCAAUGACUUAUCCUUAGGAGUCAGACUGCGAGUGAUAAGAUCCGUAGUCAAAAGGGAAACAGCCCAGACCGCCAGCUAAGGUCCCAAAGUGUGUAUUAAGUGGAAAAGGAUGUGGAGUUGCUUAGACAACUAGGAUGUUGGCUUAGAAGCAGCCACCAUUUAAAGAGUGCGUAAUAGCUCACUAGUCGAGUGACUCUGCGCCGAAAAUGUACCGGGGCUAAAUACACCACCGAAGCUGCGGAUUGAUACCAAUGGUAUCAGUGGUAGGGGAGCGUUCUAAGGACAGUGAAGUCAGACCGGAAGGACUGGUGGAGUGCUUAGAAGUGAGAAUGCCGGUAUGAGUAGCGAAAGACGGGUGAGAAUCCCGUCCACCGAAUGCCUAAGGUUUCCUGAGGAAGGCUCGUCCGCUCAGGGUUAGUCAGGACCUAAGCCCAGGCCGACAGGCGUAGGCGAUGGACAACAGGUUGAUAUUCCUGUACCACCUCUUUAUCGUUUGAGCAAUGGAGGGACGCAGAAGGAUAGAAGAAGCGUGCGAUUGGUUGUGCACGUCCAAGCAGUUAGGCUGAUAAGUAGGCAAAUCCGCUUAUCGUAAAGGCUGAGCUGUGAUGGGGAAGCUCCUUAUGGAGCGAAGUCUUUGAUUCCCCGCUGCCAAGAAAAGCUUCUAGCGAGAUAAAAGGUGCCUGUACCGCAAACCGACACAGGUAGGCGAGGAGAGAAUCCUAAGGUGUGCGAGAGAACUCUGGUUAAGGAACUCGGCAAAAUGACCCCGUAACUUCGGGAGAAGGGGUGCUUUCUUAACGGAAAGCCGCAGUGAAUAGGCCCAAGCGACUGUUUAGCAAAAACACAGCUCUCUGCGAAGCCGUAAGGCGAAGUAUAGGGGGUGACACCUGCCCGGUGCUGGAAGGUUAAGGAGAGGGGUUAGCGUAAGCGAAGCUCUGAACUGAAGCCCCAGUAAACGGCGGCCGUAACUAUAACGGUCCUAAGGUAGCGAAAUUCCUUGUCGGGUAAGUUCCGACCCGCACGAAAGGUGUAACGAUUUGGGCACUGUCUCAACCAGAGACUCGGUGAAAUUAUAGUACCUGUGAAGAUGCAGGUUACCCGCGACAGGACGGAAAGACCCCGUGGAGCUUUACUGUAGCCUGAUAUUGAAUUUUGGUACAGUUUGUACAGGAUAGGCGGGAGCCAUUGAAACCGGAGCGCUAGCUUCGGUGGAGGCGCUGGUGGGAUACCGCCCUGACUGUAUUGAAAUUCUAACCUACGGGUCUUAUCGACCCGGGAGACAGUGUCAGGUGGGCAGUUUGACUGGGGCGGUCGCCUCCUAAAGUGUAACGGAGGCGCCCAAAGGUUCCCUCAGAAUGGUUGGAAAUCAUUCGUAGAGUGCAAAGGCAUAAGGGAGCUUGACUGCGAGACCUACAAGUCGAGCAGGGACGAAAGUCGGGCUUAGUGAUCCGGUGGUUCCGCAUGGAAGGGCCAUCGCUCAACGGAUAAAAGCUACCCCGGGGAUAACAGGCUUAUCUCCCCCAAGAGUCCACAUCGACGGGGAGGUUUGGCACCUCGAUGUCGGCUCAUCGCAUCCUGGGGCUGUAGUCGGUCCCAAGGGUUGGGCUGUUCGCCCAUUAAAGCGGUACGCGAGCUGGGUUCAGAACGUCGUGAGACAGUUCGGUCCCUAUCCGUCGUGGGCGUAGGAAAUUUGAGAGGAGCUGUCCUUAGUACGAGAGGACCGGGAUGGACGCACCGCUGGUGUACCAGUUGUUCUGCCAAGGGCAUAGCUGGGUAGCUAUGUGCGGAAGGGAUAAGUGCUGAAAGCAUCUAAGCAUGAAGCCCCCCUCAAGAUGAGAUUUCCCAUAGCGUAAGCUAGUAAGAUCCCUGAAAGAUGAUCAGGUUGAUAGGUUCGAGGUGGAAGCAUGGUGACAUGUGGAGCUGACGAAUACUAAUAGAUCGAGGACUUAACCAU
rnacentral:rRNA from 1 species